rnacentral:rRNA from 1 species
AGGAAGAACCGCUAAUUACGUUCGCAGCAGCCGCGGUCAUACAGAGGGGGCAAGCGGUAGUCUUGAAUACUGGGCGUAAAGCGCACGUUGUAAGUGGUGUAUGUCAGGGGUGAAAACUCACGGGUGAUCAGUGGCAGGUCAUUUUUAAAACACACUGUGAAUCCUCGAGAGGGAGGGGGAAUACCAUCUGUAGGAGUGAAGUCCGUAGAUAUCAUGACGAACAUCACUGGCGAAGAUGGCCACCUGGAGCCAUAUUGACGAUGAGCAGCGAAAGCGUGGGGAGCAAACAGGAUUAGAUAACCUGGUAGUACUCCCGUAAUCGACGGACCUAGAUGUAGGUGAGUAUUCUUCGGUGUGGUACCAAAGCGUUAAGCAUGAAUCCUGGGGAGUACGGUCGCAAGGACGAGGCUCAAAGAAAUUGAAGGGGGCGGGCACAAGCGCGGGAGUACAGGUUGAGUUACAUGUAACGUGAAGAACCUGACCUAGAUUUGCCUUACACGGACCCCUACCUAAAAGGAGGGGGUCGUUCCGGGAGCUCGAGACGACAGGGCAUGCAUGUCUGCAUCAGGUCGUCUAGAAAACGGUGGGGUCCCGCCGAAGUGAGCGAAAGCGCUCUCCCUUCCAGCAACUUUCUGACAGGGAAAGCAAAGGAGUCUGCCGUUAAUAACGAGGUGAAAGGGGGGGAAGUCAAGAUGACAUGGCCUCAGCACGGCCAGGACAUCCGGUACUACACAAGUGGCACAAAGGGGAGCCAAAGGGCGAGUUCCCCCAAUGCCAAAAAACUCGUCCCACUCCGGAUCACAUUGUGCAAGUUGACUGCACCAAGUUGGAAGAAGUAGUAAUUCGUGAUCAUCAUGCUUCGGCGAAGGCGUUCCCAGUCCGUUUACACCCCGCCUGCCCCCCCACCAAAGUCGCUUGUGACCGAAGCCGGUGGGACAUUCAGCAAUGGAGGCAGCCGUCUACGGUAGGACUGAUGAUGGGGGAAGUCGAACAA